GGAGGAUUAGCUCAGCGGGAGAGCGCCUGCCUUACAAGCAGGAUGUCGCAAGUUCAAUCCUUGCAUCCUCCA
rnacentral:tRNA from 1 species